rnacentral:tRNA from 1 species
GGUGGCUCAGUGGUAGAGUGCUUGCCUUGAAUGCAUGAAGCCCUGGGUUCGAUUCCUGAGCACCA